GUCUCUGUGGUGCAAUUGUAGCACAUUCAGCCAAAAACUGAAAGGUUGGUGGUUCAAGUCCACCCAGAGACA